ensembl:lncRNA
GGGAUGGGGAGGAGGAAGACAGCCCUCCGGACUGGAAGUUUGAAACCCUUUCUCCUGUUCCUGUCUUUAAAACACGAACUGGCAGGCUGGACUUCUUAUAUAACACUCCUUUAGUGACUGAAGCACUUGUCACAACCACCUUGGGGACCUAGGUUCAAUGCCCCCACUUUCAGGAAGUCAAGCUCUUUGCUCAGAUAGCACGUGGCUGAGCAGCGGCAGUAAAACCAGAGUCCCUAUUUCCACUCUUAGACCAGUGAGCCCUCCUGCACCCACGACGGAGACUGAGGAGGAGAAAAAUAACCAGCCAUGCAAAAUCCAAAAAAAAAAAAAAUCCUCUCAAGAUUAUGAAAUCAAAGAGCAUUUUGUUGUUUCUUGGACAUUCUUCUUACUACUCUGAGGCAGCGCAAUUCAACAGGCAUCUCUUUCUUGUUGUUAAAGUACUUGUUCUAUCUCCUGCCUCUUUUACCAACUUUCACAUCGACCGAGAACGCAAGCGUUUACCUGGGCUCCAUCCUUGGACGGCGAACUGGUCGCGCAGGCUUCCGGCCUCCUCCUCCCUGGGAUUUGGCUCCAAGGCUCCCGCAAAAUCUCGAAAUCCCCCCCAGAUCGGCGCGGCCACUGAGGGAAGCAGCCCGGCUCUGAACAAGCCCAGGCAAGCCCAGGCAGAGCCCGCUUCGCGGUCCUUCCUCCUGCGCGAACCACCCGGCCCCGGGGCGAGAGACGCGUCUCUCGGGCCGCAGAUCCGUGGAGUCGUCUCUCUCCAGAGGACCGGGCGCCGGCCCUCUCCUCCACCUGAGAAGGAAAAGGGUGCAGGGACACAACUGAAGGACUAGGGUCUUCUUGGCCCCAUGAGACGCCUGCAUCUUGCACUGGGAGAAGAUGGUCCUUGGCGGGAAGUGGCUGCUGCCCCAAGCAUGUCAUCACACGCACACUGUGGGGAGCAAAGCCACCAAAAUGCCUUGACCUGGGCGGCUGACAGAUGAAGGAGUACAUUUGGGAGACUCCAGACUGCAGUAACUAGAGGACUUGAAAUAAGAUUUAUAUCCACUUUUCCAUUCAGAGAGGCCAAACCACAUUCAGGCCUCUCCCCCCCCCCUUAAUCAUUAAGGUGGCUCAGUGGUAAAGAAUCCGACUGCCAGUGCAUGAGACGAGGAUUCAAUCCCUGGGUUGGGAAGAUCCCUGGAGGAAGGCAUGGCAACCCACUCCAGUAUUGCCUGGGGAAUUCCAUGGACAGAGGAGCCUGGCAGGCUACCGUCCACAGGGUUGCAAAAGAGUCGGACACGACUGAACAACUCAACAACAACAAUAGCAGCAAUAUUUUGACGUUCUGACUACUUGGUCUUUGUUGCAGAAACUCCUAUGUAUCCUGGC